rnacentral:rRNA from 1 species
GACGAACGCUGGCGGCGUGCUUAACACAUGCAAGUCGAACGGUGAUGCUCCAGCUUGCUGGAGUGGAUCAGUGGCGAACGGGUGAGUAACACGUGAGCAACCUGCCCCAGACUCUGGAAUAAGCGCUGGAAACGGCGUCUAAUACUGGAUACGAAACUGGCCCGCAUGGGCAUGGUUUGGAAAGUUUUUCGGUUUGGGAUGGACUCGCGGCCUAUCAGCUUGUUGGUGAGGUAAUGGCUCACCAAGGCGACGACGGGUAGCCGGCCUGAGAGGGCGACCGGCCACACUGGGACUGAGACACGGCCCAGACUCCUACGGGAGGCAGCAGUGGGGAAUAUUGCACAAUGGGCGAAAGCCUGAUGCAGCGACGCCGCGUGAGGGAUGACGGCCUUCGGGUUGUAAACCUCUUUCAGCAGGGAAGAAGCGAAAGUGACGGUACCUGCAGAAGAAGCACCGGCUAACUACGUG